UCGGGAGUCUGCAGCUCGCGCAGGCGUUCUUCUCGGGCCUCGGCCCGUUCUCCUCGCGCCAACUUGGGUCGCGCGCGCGCGCGUGCGCGCGCGCGCGGCACGUAGCACGCGAGUGACGCAUAAUAUGUGGGCCGCUCUGGUGCCGUGGUCGCGCUGUGUGUGAGAGGGAGAAGAGUGCGGGACCUGAGGCAGUGUGUGUGUGUGUGAAUUGUGGCCGCUGGCGGGGUCAGGGGGGAGCGGCCGAGCCGCUCGGAAAGGUGAGAAAGGAAUCAUGACUCAAAUUCUCACAGGGAUUCCAGAUCCAUGAAAGGCCAAGCCAUGACUACAGUAGCAGUACAUGUAGAUUCUAAAGCUGAGCUGACUACCCUGCUGGAGCAGUGGGAAAAGGAACAUGGCAGUGGGCAAGACAUGGUACCUAUCCUUACCAGGAUGUCUGAAUUGAUUGAAAAAGAAACCGAAGAAUAUCGUAAGGGGGAUCCAGACCCAUUUGAUGAUCGACAUCCUGGUCGAGCUGAUCCAGAGUGCAUGCUGGGCCACUUGCUGAGGAUACUCUUCAAGAAUGACGAUUUCAUGAAUGCACUGGUGAAUGCAUAUGUGAUGACAAGCCGAGAGCCACCUUUAAACACGGCAGCUUGCAGACUUCUGUUGGAUAUCAUGCCAGGGCUGGAAACUGCUGUUGUCUUUCAAGAAAAGGAAGGAAUUGUUGAGAAUCUUUUCAAGUGGGCACGAGAAGCGGAUCAACCCUUGAGGACAUAUUCUACUGGAUUGUUAGGAGGUGCAAUGGAAAAUCAAGAUAUUGCUGCCAACUAUCGGGAUGAAAAUUCUCAGCUGGUGGCAAUAGUGCUUCGAAGACUGAGGGAGCUACAGCUUCAAGAAGUAGCUUUGCGCCAAGAAAGCAAACGUCCCAGUCCUCGAAAGCUGUCCUCCGAACCCCUGUUGCCUCUGGAUGAAGAAGCUGUGGAUAUGGACUAUGGUGAAAUGACUGUAGAUGGAGUAGAUGGUGAGCAAGAAGAAGCCUCCAGGGAUAUGGAGAUCUCCUUUCAUCUUGACUCCAGCCACAAGACGAGUAGCAGAGUGAACUCAGCAAUCAAACCUGAUGGAGGAGGGUUGAGGAAAAACAAGUCAGCAAAACCGAGUGACAGAGAGAGCUUUAGGAAAGCUAGACAGAAGUUGGGUUUCUCCUCAUCUGAUCCAGAGCGCGUGUUUGUUGAACUGUCUAAUAGCAGCUGGUCAGAAAUGUCCCCGUGGGUGAUCGGCACCAAUUACACCCUUUAUCCUAUGACUCCUGCUAUUGAGCAGCGACUAAUUCUCCAAUAUUUGACGCCUCUAGGAGAAUAUCAAGAGUUACUUCCUAUAUUUAUGCAACUUGGAUCACGGGAGUUGAUGAUGUUCUAUAUUGACCUGAAGCAAACAAAUGAUGUCCUGCUUACGUUUGAGGCACUCAAGCACCUAGCAUCUCUCCUACUUCAUAACAAAUUUGCCACGGAAUUUGUUGCUCAUGGUGGAGUACAGAAAUUACUGGAAAUCCCUCGUCCUUCUAUGGCUGCAACUGGUGUAUCUAUGUGCUUAUAUUAUCUUUCUUAUAAUCAGGAUGCCAUGGAAAGAGUCUGCAUGCAUCCCCACAAUGUUUUGUCUGACGUGGUGAACUAUACGCUGUGGUUAAUGGAGUGUUCUCAUGCCUCAGGGUGCUGCCAUGCCACCAUGUUUUUCUCAAUCUGCUUCUCCUUCCGGGCAGUGCUGGAGCUCUUUGACCACUAUGAUGGUCUUCGUCGCCUGGUGAAUUUGAUCAGUACUUUGGAGAUUUUAAAUUUGGAAGACCAGGGUGCGCUUCUGAGUGAUGAUGAAAUAUUUGCUAGUCGCCAAACUGGGAAACAUACCUGCAUGGCCUUACGCAAGUACUUUGAGGCCCACUUGGCCAUUAAGUUGGAACAAGUCAAGCAGUCACUUCAGAGGACUGAGGGCGGCAUUCUUGUCCAUCCUCAACCACCGUAUAAGGCAUGCUCGUAUACUCAUGAGCAGAUUGUGGAGAUGAUGGAAUUUUUGAUAGAAUAUGGCCCGGCACAACUGUACUGGGAGCCAGCUGAAGUCUUCCUCAAACUUUCUUGUGUCCAGUUGUUGCUGCAGCUCAUCUCUAUAGCCUGCAAUUGGAAGACCUAUUAUGCAAGGAAUGACACUGUGCGUUUCGCUUUGGAUGUCCUGGCCAUCCUCACUGUCGUACCCAAGAUCCAGCUCCAGUUGGCAGAAUCAGUGGAUGUGCUGGAUGAAGCUGGCUCUACUGUCUCCACUGUAGGUAUCAGCAUUAUUUUGGGAGUGGCUGAGGGUGAGUUCUUUAUCCAUGAUGCUGAGAUUCAGAAGUCAGCACUUCAGAUUAUCAUCAAUUGUGUGUGUGGCCCGGAUAACCGAAUUUCCAGCAUUGGCAAAUUUAUCUCUGGAACUCCUCGGAGAAAGUUGCCUCAGGCUCCCAAAAGCAGCGAGCACACCCUGGCCAAGAUGUGGAAUGUGGUUCAGUCCAACAAUGGUAUCAAGGUGCUGCUUUCUUUACUGUCCAUCAAGAUGCCCAUCACAGAUGCAGACCAGAUCCGGGCUCUGGCGUGUAAGGCCCUUGUGGGCCUCUCCCGUAGCAGCACUGUCAGGCAAAUCAUCAGCAAACUGCCACUUUUCAGCAGCUGCCAGAUUCAGCAGCUGAUGAAGGAGCCUGUGCUACAGGACAAGCGCAGUGACCAUGUCAAGUUCUGCAAGUACGCAGCUGAGCUCAUUGAACGGGUGUCUGGAAAGCCACUUCUCAUUGGCACUGAUGUAUCCUUGGCAAGGCUACAGAAAGCAGAUGUUGUUGCCCAGUCAAGAAUCUCCUUCCCUGAGAAAGAGCUGCUUUUGCUGAUUCGAAACCAUCUCAUUUCUAAAGGGCUUGGGGAGACAGCAACUGUCUUGACAAAAGAAGCUGACCUGCCCAUGACUGCUGCCUCCCAUUCUUCUGCCUUCACCCCAGUUACUGCUGCUGCUUCUCCUGUCUCUCUUCCCCGAACCCCUCGGAUUGCCAAUGGUAUUGCAACUCGACUGGGCAGUCAUACUGCUGUGGGGACCUCUGCCCCUUCUGCCCCCACUGCCCAUCCUCAACCCCGUCCCCCCCAGAAUUCACUAGCUCUGCCUGGCCCAUCUUAUGCAGGCAAUUCUCCUUUGAUUGGUAGGAUCAGUUUUAUCAGAGAGAGGCCAUCACCUUGCAAUGGCAGGAAAAUCAGAGUGUUGCGACAGAAGUCGGACCAUGGUGCUUAUAGCCAAAGCCCAGCCAUAAAAAAGCAGUUGGACAGGCAUCUUCCUUCCCCGCCAACGCUGGACAGUAUUAUCACAGAAUAUCUUCGAGAACAGCAUGCUCGCUGCAAGAACCCAGUUGCCACGUGUCCACCUUUCUCUCUCUUUACUCCUCAUCAGUGUCCUGAGCCAAAACAGAGGAGGCAAGCACCAAUAAACUUUACCUCCAGGCUAACUCGCAGGGCAUCGUUUCCAAAGUAUGGAGGGGUGGAUGGCGGAUGCUUUGAUAGGCACCUUAUUUUUAGCAGGUUUCGUCCCAUUUCAGUGUUUCGGGAAGCUAAUGAAGAUGAGAGUGGCUUCACCUGCUGUGCAUUCUCUGCACGGGAGCGAUUCUUGAUGCUUGGCACUUGCACGGGGCAGUUGAAGCUCUACAAUGUGUUUAGUGGACAAGAGGAGGCGAGCUAUAACUGUCACAACUCAGCCAUCACACACCUUGAACCUUCCAGGGAUGGGUCUUUGCUGUUAACAUCUGCAACGUGGAGCCAGCCUCUGUCUGCACUUUGGGGAAUGAAAUCAGUAUUUGAUAUGAAGCAUUCCUUCACAGAAGAUCAUUAUGUAGAAUUUAGUAAGCACUCUCAGGAUCGAGUCAUAGGCACAAAAGGAGACAUUGCCCAUAUCUAUGAUAUUCAGACUGGCAGCAAGCUGUUGACUCUGUUUAACCCAGAUCUUGCCAACAACUACAAACGGAACUGUGCCACCUUCAACCCUACAGAUGACCUUGUCUUAAAUGAUGGCGUCCUCUGGGAUGUCCGCUCUGCACAGGCCAUCCACAAGUUUGACAAGUUCAACAUGAACAUCAGUGGUGUUUUCCAUCCCAAUGGACUAGAGGUCAUCAUUAAUACUGAGAUUUGGGACCUUCGGACCUUCCACCUUUUACACACAGUGCCUGCUCUGGACCAGUGUCGCGUGGUAUUCAACCACACUGGGACAGUGAUGUACGGAGCUAUGUUGCAGGCAGACGAUGAAGAUGACUUAAUGGAAGAAAGGAUGAAAAGUCCCUUUGGAUCAUCCUUCCGAACAUUCAAUGCGACCGACUACAAACCUAUAGCAACUAUUGAUGUGAAACGGAACAUCUUUGACCUGUGCACAGACACCAAAGAUUGCUAUCUUGCUGUUAUUGAGAACCAAGGCAGCAUGGAUGCUCUGAACAUGGACACAGUGUGCAGGCUGUAUGAAGUGGGCAGGCAGCGUCUGGCAGAGGAUGAAGACGAAGAGGAGGAUCAGGAAGAAGAAGAACAAGAGGAAGAAGAUGAUGAUGAAGAUGAUGACGACACAGAUGACCUGGAUGAGCUUGACACUGACCAGCUGCUAGAGGCAGAGUUGGAGGAGGACGACAACAACGAGAACGCAGGGGAGGAUGGGGACAAUGACUUUUCUCCCUCUGACGAGGAGCUAGCAAACCUUCUAGAGGAGGGAGAGGACGGGGAUGACGAAGACUCUGAUGCAGACGAGGAAGUGGAACUGAUCCUGGGGGACAAAUGAAAGAGAGAAAGAGAACAAAGCAUUGCUCCAUCUCUCGUUGCUGCUCCCUUGUGGUGCUGGAGAUGGAACUCAGAGUCACGUGCAUGUGAGCUGACAGCUCUGACAACUCUGAUUUGGAAGAUGACAUCAUCUUAUCUCUGAAUGAGUGAGGAGCCAUCACCAUGUGGAAGAGAUUCUUGGCAGGCGAGAAACUGAGUCAUGAAUUUAGAGUUCCUUCCUCUCCCUUCUCCCAGGGCUUUCUGUCUCUUAAGGAACCACAUGCCCUGCAUUAGAGGAUUCUGGUUUAGAGAGUCUUCCUGAAAUCUGAGGGUCCUUCUAAGAACAGUAACCACCGUAAUAAGGGACAGCAGGGGUCAGGCCCCAUUCUCCCCUCAGAGCACGGGCGCAGCUUUCCUCAGUGGGGAAACACUUCUCGGGGUCAUUUCACAAUAUAUUUUCUUUGUAUGAUGUUCUUUACUUAAAGAACAAGAAAUAGUUUUUUAUAAAAUUGAAAAAAAAAUAAAUAAAAAACAGGCAUUUAUAACCGAGGGUAUGAACUUAUAUCCACUAGGUCUCUUGUCCCUGCGCUUCAUUUUCUAUGGAAGAAAAUGGUGUCUAAAGAACAAUCUAGAGGCGUUUUUACAUAUUUAAAUGAGAAAGAAAAUCGUGGUUUCUUAAAUUGAUAAGGAUUGAGAAUAUUUUAUUAUAAAUAUAAUAUAUGAUUUUUUAAGCUGUUCUGUUGCCUCAGCCGCUGUCAGGUUUUCUUUUGUGCCCGAGUGGGGAGGAAGGUGCUGCUUGUUCACUGAGUCAAUACCAAACUUCACCCCUUAGUGGUCUGAGGACAGCAAGGUCGUUGUGGAUAUUGGUUGUUGUGGAGUUGAGGGAACUUAGGAUAUAAGUUCACUCCCUCUAUUUUUGCUUUGUGAUUGAGUUUUUCAAAAAUCGUUUUUUCUUUUUCCCUUUCUCCCCAAUGUGGAAAUUACAAAUCAAAGGCCUUUUUUUCUUUAAUGUAAAGUGUAUUUAUUUAAAAAAAUACAAAAUAAACUACAAGUCUGUCUUUGUU